UGAAGUAGCAGUACCAUCGAUGACGACCGGCCCCCGAAAGAGUUACACGUAUGCAAUCUGCCUUCUACACCGGGAUAGCCCGUCGAAAGACGGAUUAAUACCAGAUAAAACAGGGAUACCGCAUGGUAAUAUGUGUUAAAGAUUUAUCGGUAGAAGAUGAGCAUGCGUUCCAUUAGCCAGUUGGUGAGGUAACGGCUCACCAAAGCAACGAUGGAUAGGGGAACUGAGAGGUUUAUCCCCCACACUGGUACUGAGACACGGACCAGACUCCUACGGGAGGCAGCAGUGAGGAAUAUUGGUCAAUGGACGCAAGUCUGAACCAGCCAAGUCGCGUGAAGGAUGACUGCCCUACGGGUUGUAAACUUCUUUUGUACUAGAGUAAAACAUAGGACGUGUCCUAUCUUGCAAGUAUAGUACGAAUAAGCAUCGGCUAACUCCGUGCCAGCAGCCGCGGUAAUACGGAGGAUGCGAUCGUUAUCCGGAUUUAUUGGUUUUAAAGGGUGCGUAGGCGGUCUAUUAAGUCAGCGGUGAAAGUUUGAGGCUCAACCUUAAAAUUGCCGUUGAAACUGGUUGACUUGAAUAUAUUUGAAAUAGGCGGAAUUCGAGGUGUAGCGGUGAAAUGCAUAAAUAUCACGAAAAAACUCCGAUUGCGCAAGCUGCUUACUAAACUAUAACUGACCCUGAGGCACGAAAACGUGGGUAUCAAACAGGAUUAGAUAUCUCUGGUACUCCCACGCCGUAAACGA
rnacentral:rRNA from 1 species